GGACCCGCACAAGUAGUGGAGCAUGUGGUUUAAUUCGAGGCAACGCGAAGAACCUUACCUGGUCUUGACAUGCCCGUCAUAGUUUUCCGAAAGGAAUUCGUCAGUUCGGCUGGACGGUGCACAGGUGCUGCAUGGCUGUCGUCAGCUCGUGUCGUGAGAUGUUCGGUUAAGUCCGGCAACGAGCGCAACCCUCGUUUCCAGUUGCCAGCGGGUAAUGCCGGGGACUCUGGAAAGACAAACCUCGUGUAGAGGUGGGAAGGUGGGGACGACGUCAAGUCAGUAUGGCCCUUACGACCAGGGCUGCACACGUGCUACAAUGCCCAGCACAAUGGGAUGCAACACCGCGAGGUUGAGCAAAUCCACAAAACUGGGCCCAGUUCGGAUUGGAGUCUGCAACUCGACUCCAUG
rnacentral:rRNA from 1 species